rnacentral:lncRNA from 1 species
GGGGAUCUGAGUUGUAGCAAAAACACAUGAAAUAUUUUCAGCAGUUACUUAACUGGGCAAUGGCAUCCUUUAAGUUAAGGAAGGAGAUGAGACCGGGAAGCGUGAUGCGCUCCUGUAACUCCUUCAGAUCUGAACUGUGGUGUGUGCUGAGAUACAUACAGUUAGUCCAGAAAACGUGGCAGGGCCUUCAGGGUGCUCAUUUGCAUAAAAGACACUGUUAUGAGCAGUUCAAAGUCAGUGACUGCAUCCAUUUGGGGGAAGCAUUGGGAACUGCCACAUUUGGAGGGCGUAGCAGCUCAGUUUUGCAAUUUUUGUUAUUCUGGAUUUGAGAAUGGAGUCGUUCUCUCCCCACUCCCCCACCCCCAGGGGAAGAAAGCCUCAGACCGUGUCAGGCUCUAAGAAUCCUUGCCUGUUGAUUCUCCUCCAUCUCUUUUCUGUGUGGUUCCCCGUGUUGAAAAGACACCCGUGUGUUUCUCCUUGAAGAGCCCACAUGUGUGCUGUGGGGAGUUGGUAUGUUAGUUGCCUCUCCUUCCUCCGUGUAUUACUUAUGAUUAGAGAUACCCCUGAAUUAAAAGGAGGAACACAUGACACGUACACUAAUUAAACAUCCAUAUGUUUCUUAGUUCAGGGUGUCAAAGAAUGUUCAUGGUCACAUUCGGGACGGAGAGA